rnacentral:rRNA from 1 species
GACGAACGCUGGCGGCGUGCUUAACACAUGCAAGUCGAACGGUGAUGCGGAGCUUGCUCCGCGGAUCAGUGGCGAACGGGUGAGUAACACGUGAGUAACCUGCCCUUGACUCUGGAUAAGCGUUGGAAACGACGUCUAAUACCGGAUAGGACUCCAUCGGGCAUCUGGUGGGGUGGAAAGAUUUUUCGGUCAUGGAUGGACUCGCGGCCUAUCAGCUUGUUGGUGGGGUGAUGGCCUACCAAGGCGACGACGGGUAGCCGGCCUGAGAGGGUGACCGGCCACACUGGGACUGAGACACGGCCCAGACUCCUACGGGAGGCAGCAGUGGGGAAUAUUGCACAAUGGGCGCAAGCCUGAUGCAGCAACGCCGCGUGAGGGAUGACGGCCUUCGGGUUGUAAACCUCUUUUAGCAGGGAAGAAGCGAGAGUGACGGUACCUGCAGAAAAAGCACCGGCUAACUACGUGCCAGCAGCCGCCGUAACA